GCCUGGGUGGCUCAGUGGGCUAGGCGCCUGAUUUCAGCUCAGGUCAUGAUCUCACGGUUUGUGGUUUUGAGCCCCACAUCAGGCU
rnacentral:tRNA from 1 species